UAGCAUAUCAAUAAGCGGAGGAAAAGAAACUAACAAGGAUUCCCCUAGUAACUGCGAGUGAAGCGGGAAAAGCUCAAAUUUAAAAUCCCUUCUGGGAGUUGUAAUCUAGAGACGUGUUUUCGGUCGUUGCCUCGGACAAGUCCCUUGGAACAGGGCGUCGUAGAGGGUGAGAAUCCCGUACUUGCCGAGCUCCCAAUGACUAUGUGAUACACGUUCGAAGAGUCGAGUUGUUUGGGAAUGCAGCUCAAAAUGGGUGGUAAACUCCAUCUAAAGCUAAAUAUUGGCGAGAGACCGAUAGCGAACAAGUACCGUGAGGGAAAGAUGAAAAGCACUUUGGAAAGAGAGUUAAACAGUACGUGAAAUUGUUGAAAGGGAAGCGCUUGAAGUCAGUCGCGUUGCAGGGACUCAGCCGUCAAGGUGCACUUCUCUGCCACGGGUCAACAUCAAUUUCGGCCGCGGGAAAAGGGCUUGGGGAAUGUGGCAGCUUCGGCUGUGUUAUAGCCUCUUGUCGUACACCGCGGCCGGGAUUGAGGACUGCUACUACAGGAUGUUGACAAAAUGGCUUUAAGCGACCCGUCUUGAAACACGGACCAAGGAGUCUAACAUGUCUGCGAGUGUUCGGGUGUCAAACCCGUGCGCGCAAUGAAAGUAAACGUAGGUGGGAGGCUCCGGCCGCACCAUCGACCGAUCCGGAUCUCUUGUGAUGGAUUUGAGUAAGAGCAUAUAUGUUGGGACCCGAAAGAUGGUGAACUAUGCCUGAAUAGGGCGAAACCAGAGGAAACUCUGGUGGAGGCUCGUAGCGAUUCUGACGUGCUCAUCGAUCGUCAAAUUUGGGCAUAGGAGCGAAAGACUAACUCGAGCCGUCCAGUAUCUGGUUCAUGCCGA
rnacentral:rRNA from 1 species